rnacentral:rRNA from 1 species
GAUGAACGCUGGCGGUAUGCUUAACACAUGCAAGUCGAACGGACUCUUCGGAGUUAGUGGCGGACGGGUGAGUAACGCGUGAGAAUCUGGCUUUGGGUUCGGGACAACCACUGGAAACGGUGGCUAAUACCGGAUGUGCCGAGAGGUAAAAGAGAAAUUGCCUGAAGAUGAGCUCGCGUCUGACUAGCUAGUUGGUGAGGUAAAGGCUCACCAAGGCAGCGAUCAGUAGCUGGUCUGAGAGGAUGACCAGCCACACUGGGACUGAGACACGGCCCAGACUCCUACGGGAGGCAGCAGUGGGGAAUUUUCCGCAAUGGGCGAAAGCCUGACGGAGCAAUACCGCGUGAGGGAAGAAGGCUCUUGGGUUGUAAACCUCUUUUCUUAGGGAAGAACAAAAUGACGGUACCUAAGGAAUCAGCAUCGGCUAACUCCGUG